rnacentral:rRNA from 1 species
UACGGGGGGGGCAAGCGUUGUUCGGAAUUACUGGGCGUAAAGGGCUCGUAGGCGGCCAACUAAGUCCGACGUGAAAUCCCCAGGCUUAACCUGGGAACUGCGUCGGAUACUGGAUGGCUUGAAUUCGGGAGAGGGAUGCAGAAUUCCAGGUGUAGCGGUGAAAUGCGUAGAUAUUGUGAGGAAUACCGGUGGCGAAGGCGGCAUCCUGGACCGACAUUGACGCUGAUGAGCGAAAAGCUAGGGGAGCAAACGGG